UACGGGGGGGGCAAGCGUUGUUCGGAAUUACUGGGCGUAAAGGGCUCGUAGGUGGCCAACUAAGUCGGACGUGAAAUCCCUCAGCUUAACUGGGGAACUGCGUCCGAUACUGGAUGGCUUGAGUUUGGGAGAGGGAUGCGGAAUUCCAGGUGUAGCGGUGAAAUGCGUGGAUAUCUGGAGGAACACCGGUGGCGAAGGCGGCAUCCUGGACCAACACUGACACUGAGGAGCGAAAGCCAGGGGAGCAAACGGG
rnacentral:rRNA from 1 species